CAAAGGAACCGUACGUGACACUCUCGCGUCAUACGGCUCCGUCCCGGAAUCAGGACCCCCCCUUUCCUUUGACCA
rnacentral:tRNA from 1 species